UACGGAGGGUGCAAGCGUUAAUCGGAAUUACUGGGCGUAAAGCGCACGCAGGUGGCUGAGUCAGUCGAUUGUGAAAGCCCUGGGCUUAACCUGGGAAUUGCAGUCGAUACUACUCAGCUAGAGUAUGGGAGAGGGUAGUGGAAUUCCCGGAGUAGUGGUGAAAUGCGUAGAGAUCGGGAGGAACACCGGUGGCGAAGGCGGCCAGCUGGCGCUGACCUGACGCUGAGGCGCGAAGGCAUGGGGAGCGAACGGG
rnacentral:rRNA from 1 species